GUGACGAUACCCAGGGCGCCGACUGCGUGAGGACGGUUUCUGGUCGCUGA
rnacentral:snoRNA from 2 species